rnacentral:rRNA from 1 species
CAAGGGAGAAUUGAUUACUGCACCAUAGAUGGUUAAAGUCCAGUAAU